GCAAGCAGUAACAGUUGACGACUUCUACCAUUGAAAGUAGUCUAGCUACAUAUAUACAAAAUGGCAUAUAAACAAAACAAAAGCUCACAAUCAUUAUAAUGAUUUUACCAAAUAACAUCAUGAUAGCACCAUUGUUACAUAUAUUCUAUCCCAUCAUGAUGCUUCAAAUUGCUAAUAUACAGCCAUUAUCUCUACACACACUGCCCCCAAAACACACGCGCUGUUACUGUCUCGUUCAAAAGAGAGAAUUUGUGCUUUUGGCUUGAGAUAUCCUUAUAGUAA
rnacentral:lncRNA from 1 species